UGGAGCGGAGCGACGUGCAGUUCAUUUCUUUGGAGCGGGCAUUCUGUCGCUCCUUGUUUCCAAAGGGAGCGGAGUGAUUGGAGUGGUACAUUGCCGAACAGGCACUUCAUUGCACAUGAUUUACUACUGAAAUAUUCAUGACUUACUAUUUGAAAGUUAAUGCUUUUGAUUUUGAGUAAUUCUAAGAGAAUAUAUCUUGUCAUUCAGGUAUCAUUUUUAGUAAUGCUAAGAGCAUACAUGAUAUGACUCAUCAUCAUUCAUAGCUAAUAGCUGAUGACAUGGGCAAGUCGGGGAUUGGUUCUUACAUAAAUGCUUCUGAAUGUCAUCU
rnacentral:lncRNA from 1 species